rnacentral:rRNA from 1 species
AUUGAACGCUGGCGGAAUGCUUUACACAUGCAAGUCGAACGGUAGAGGGGGCAACCCCUCGAGAGUGGCGAACGGGUGAGUAAUAUAUCGGAACGUGCCCAGUCGUGGGGGAUAACGUAGCGAAAGUUACGCUAAUACCGCAUACCAUCUCAGGAUGAAAGCAGGGGAUCGCAAGACCGCGCACGAUUUGAGCGGCAGGUAUCAGAUUAGGUAGUUGGUGGGGUAAAGGCACACCAAGCCAACGGUCUGUAGCUGGUCUGAGAGGACGACCAGCCACACUGGAACUGAGACACGUUCCAGACGCCUACGGGAGGCAGCAGUGGGGAAUUUUGGACAAUGGACGCAUGUCUGAUCCAGCCAUUCCGCGUGCAGGAUGAAGGCCCUCGGGUUGUAAACUGCUUUUGUACGGAAAGAAAAGGUCUCUCUUAAUACGGGGGGCUCAUGACGGUACCGUAAGAAUAAGCACCGGCUAACUACGUGCCAGCCGCCGCGGUAA